GUCCCUGUAGCGCAAUGGAUAGCGUGUUGGACUUCUAAUCGAAAGGUCGUGAGUUCGAGUAUCCCCUGGGAUG